CAUCAUUUUCUUCCCGGCACCAUCCGGCAUCCGGCAAUCCGGCAUCCGGCCGCCAGUCGGAUCUCUUCCCCCAGUCCCCCAAUUCCCGUUUGAUUAGAUGUGAUAGUGAUAGUUUGAUAGUGUGAUUAGGUACUGCCGGACAGUUGAUUGUAACACAGCGUGAAUCUCAAGUCAGAUUAGGAUUCACGAUAUCUAAAAGAUAUCCAUGAAAUAAAAGAGGAAAAACUGUGUGCUCGUGUGUGAAUUUGAUUAGAGAAAAUCCUUUCUUUCUUGGAUUAAUUUGCGGCCUGUAGAAUGGAAACGGUUACUAGCAACGAAACGGUUAUCGCUUCUGAGG